UACAGAGGAGCCAAGCGUUGUCCGGAUUGACUGGGCGUAAAGCGCACGCAGGCGGCACCGCGCGUGGGGUGUGAAAUCUGGCCGCUUAACGGCCAGGCGCCAUCCCAUACGGCGGAGCUGGAGCGAUGCAGAGGUCGAUGGAAUUGCCGGUGUAGUGGUGAAAUGCGUAGAGAUCGGCAGGAACACCAGUGGCGAAGGCGGCCACCUAGCCCGCACCUGACGCUGAGGCGCGACAGCGUGGGGAGCGAACUGG
rnacentral:rRNA from 1 species